UGGGGAAUAUUGCGCAAUGGGGGAAACCCUGACGCAGCGACGCCGCGUGAGCGAUGAAGGCCUUAGGGUUGUAAAGCUCUGUUUUAGGGGACGAAUGUCUAGAUCAGUAAUAUGGGUUUAGAAUGACGGUACCCUAAGAGGAAGCCCCGGCUAACUACGUGCCAGCAGCCGCGGUAAGACGUAGGGGGCGAGCGUUGUCCGGAAUUACUGGGCGUAAAGAGCACGUAGGCGGGAACUUAAGUCAGGUGUGAAAGACCGAGGCUCAACCUCGGGGUGGCACUUGAAACUGGGUUUCUUGAGGGCAGGAGAGGAAAGCAGAAUUCCUGGUGUAGCGGUGAAAUGCGUAGAAAUCAGGAGGAAUACCAGUGGCGAAGGCGGCUUUCUGGACUGACCCUGACGCUGAGGUGCGAAAGCGUGGGUAGCAAACA
rnacentral:rRNA from 1 species